GCCAUAAUGCCGUUGGGAACCUCGUCUGACUCCAGCCCGGAGUACACCUGCAUGAGGUCAGCUGCUGGCACCUGCUCCACGAUCACCGCAGGAAACACUGACGGGUCGUCCAGCUAGAAGGACAGGGGACAGCGGCGUUAUGACGGGAAAAAGGGAUUCUGAGAUCGACCGCCGUCGAGGAGUAGCAGCGGCAGUAAUGUGAGCAUUGUAUCGGACGAUGGUGGGGAAGAAGGAGCUGAGACGAAAGGUCUGUCAGGUUGGGCCUGUAUCAGCCACUCUCUGAGGAGCCAUGGGGGGAUGGAACGAGCGAUGACGUGACUCGACGGGCAAGCUUUGCACCGGCCUGCCACGCAGAAUCCUGCACCCUGAUGACACUCGAGCGCGCGCAUGCGACCACGCAUGGAAACUCUUCUGCAAACGCUUAUGCACACGGAAAUCAGAAACCGCAUCACACGCAUUCAAAUGCAGUCAACAGUCUACCCCCCAUCACCCCUUUUCAGCACUGCAGUGUUCUUCUCUCCUUUACCUCUUCAAGCUACCCUGCCUUUCCCUACCAGACAGAGCUUUCCAAGUCCUUUCAAAACAUUCUCCUUUUCAUUGCCAUCUGUAUGGCCUAACUUCAAAAAGACUUAUUGUAUUAAUUUACCGCUUAGACCUCUCUUAAUCCCAGUUUUGUAGUUCUCCAUACGAGAAGAAGAAAAUCCUUUCAGACUUUACACAUCAGGCUGAAAAAUCAGGUAACAUUACAUGUGUAUGAAAUUGAUAACUGUUUGGCAAAAAUUUAAGAAACAGACAACAUAUGACUAUUUCUGUAAAAUUAGUAAACUGAUUGAUUGACAGAC